rnacentral:lncRNA from 1 species
UCCCGGACUACCUGUGGGUUAUUGGUCUACUGAUGCAUUGAGCAAGAUGGCUAGUGCUAUGGGCAAUCCCUUGUAUACUGACAAAUUCACAGCUCACUAUGAGAAGAUCUCUUAUGCUCGAGUGCUUGUGGAGGUUGAUGCUGCUCACCCUCUUCCUAACCAGAUUGAACUUGAAACUCCAUUUGGACCUAAGGUUCAACAGAUUGAAUAUGACUGGAAGCCUCUGUUCUGUAAUCACUGUCUGAAAUUUGGUCAUGAUGCUUUGGAUUGCUGGUACAAUACCAAAUCUGAGACUGAGAAGGAAUAAUAUGAAGAGGGACUGGCAAAGAGACAAGAGCCUAGAAGGAAAAGGAAUCCUAAAGCUGCUAAACAAGAAUGGCUUGUUAAGAAGCCUCAAGUUUUUGUUCCUCGGGUUAUGAUCCCAGAGGAAGCUGAACCUAGCAAGGCCAAUGAUGUAGUGGUGCCCAAUACCAAUCAGAUGAUUCCUCCCCAACAGGAAACUCAACAGAACCCAACCAGUCAGGAGAGGAGUCUAGAUGGUGACAUUGAACAACAUUGUAGGAAGAUUGAUGAAUGCACUAAAGGGAAGGCAGUUGUUGAUGUUUUAGAUUCUGGUAGAAAAGGUCAACAGAGUGAUCCGGGGCCCUCUUAUAACCUCAAACCCAAGUUACUAUGAUUAUAGUUACUUGGAAUAUAAGAGGGAUAAACCUAGCCCAUAAGAAGAAAGAACUGAAAAACUUUCUUGCUACUAAUAAAGUAGAUGUUAUGGGAUGUCCGAAACCUAGCCCAUAAGCAGAAAGAACUAAAAACUUUCUUGCUACUAAU